UACGUAGGGACCAAGCGUUGUUCGGAUUUACUGGGCGUAAAGGGCGCGUAGGCGGCGCGGUAAGUCACUUGUGAAGUCUCUGAGCUUAACUCAGAACGGCCAAGUGAUACUGCAGUGCUAGAGUGUGGAAGGGGCAAUCGGAAUUCUUGGUGUAGCGGUGAAAUGCGUAGAUAUCAAGAGGAACACCUGAGGCGAAGGCGGGUUGCUGGGCUGACACUGACGCUGAUGCGCGAAAGCCAGGGGAGCGAACGGG
rnacentral:rRNA from 1 species